rnacentral:rRNA from 1 species
GACUGUUUACCAAAAACAUAGCCCUUACAUAAAUUAAAGGUGUGACCUGCCCAAUGGUUGUUAAGUAAAAAGUAAUAAAGAGACUUUAAAACGACUUAAAGGACGCGGUAUCUUGACCGUGGUAAUGUAGCAUAAUCACUCGCCAUUUAAUUGGUGGAUAGUAUGAAUGGUUGAACGAAUAUAACACUGUCUCAAGUAAAGAAUUUAUAAAAUUGGAAUAAUAGUAAAGAUACUAUUUCUAAUUGUAAGACGAAAAGACCCUAUAGAGCUUAACUAUAAUUUCUUUCUAAUAGAAAUAAAUUUAUUUAUUAAAACAAAGAAAUUGGUAGUUUAGUUGGGGCGACUGCUUUCUAAAUAAAACGAAAGUAAACAAAAUUAAUAACAUAAUUUACUGUAUAAUUUAUAUAUUUAACAGUUACUAGUGUAGGUUAUAAUGACCCGUUUUUUCUUAAGAAAAAGAAAAACGAUCAAUAAAUAAAAGCUACCUUAGGGAUAACAGGAUAAUUUUAUUUUAGAGAUCAUAUCGAAGAUAAAGUUUGUCACCUCUAUGUUGAAUUAAGGUAUCCUAAUGGUGCAGCAACCAUUAAGGGUAGGUCUGUUCGACCUUUAAAACCUUACAUGAUUUGAGUUCAUUCCGUA